GAUGAACGCUGACAGAAUGCUUAACACAUGCAAGUCUUUGGCGAAGCUGUGCUUGCACAGCCUAGCCAAGGCGGACGGGUGAGUACGCGUAAGGAACUUGCCCUGCAGUCAGGGAUAACAGACGGAAACGACUGAUAAGACCUGGUAAAGUCAGGCGGACUCAUGUCCAGCCUGAUGAAAAGAGAUGCUGCAGGAGAGCCUUGCGUCCUAUUAGCUUGUUGGUGGGGUAACGGCCCACCAAGGCGAUGAUAGGUAGCCGGCCUGAGAGGGUGGACGGCCACAAGGGGACUGAGAUACGGCCCUUACUCCUACGGGAGGCAGCAGUGGGGAAUAUUGGACAAUGGGGGCAACCCUGAUCCAGCAAUUCUGUGUGCACGAUGAAGGUUUUCGGAUUGUAAAGUGCUUUCAGCAGGGAAGAAAAAAUGACGGUACCUGCAGAAGAAGCGACGGCUAAAUACGUG
rnacentral:rRNA from 1 species